rnacentral:pre_miRNA from 1 species
GCAGCGUGGAAGGUGUUUAUAAGCCAUUUAAAAUAACACACAAAAGCCGUCAGAUUCACUUCAACAUUUAAAUUUAAUUUUAAUUUUUAAAUUUAAUUUAAUUUAAAUUUAAAUGUUGAAGUGAAUCUGACGGCUUUUGUGUGUUAUUUUAAAUGGCUUAUAAACACCUUCCACAGU